rnacentral:rRNA from 11 species
ACUGGGGCAUAAACACCCUUAAGACACCAAAUCCCAUUUGAUCUUGAAAACUAAGGAAAGUCAGCCCUGGUUAGUAUUUGGAUAGGAGACAGCCAAUGAAUACUGGAUUGUAUAGGUU